CUCCCUUCCAGGCCAAGCCUGCUGAAGAGCUUGUGAAACUCAAGCGAAAAGGAAA
rnacentral:hammerhead_ribozyme from 1 species